rnacentral:rRNA from 1 species
CCUACGGGAGGCAGCAGUAGGGAAUCUUGCUCAAUGGGGGAAACCCUGAAGCAGCAACGCCGCGUGGAGGAUGAAGGUUUUCGGAUCGUAAACCCCUUUUGUUAGAGAAGAUAAUGACGGUAUCUAACGAAUAAGCACCGGCUAACUCCGUGCCAGCAGCCGCGGUAAUACGGAGGGUGCAAGCGUUACUCGGAAUCACUGGGCGUAAAGAGCGCGUAGGCGGGAUAGCAAGUCAGAUGUGAAAUCCUACGGCUUAACCAUAGAACUGCAUUUGAAACUGUUAUUCUAGAGUAUGGGAGAGGUAGGUGGAAUUCUUGGUGUAGGGGUAAAAUCCGUAGAGAUAAAGAGGAAUACUCAUGGCGAAGGCGACCUGCUAGAACAUAACUGACGCUGAUGCGCGAAAGCGUGGGGAGCAAACAGGAUUAGAUACCCCGGUAGUC